rnacentral:rRNA from 1 species
GGAGUUAGCCGGUGCUUCUUCUGUGAGUGAUGUCCUUCCUGCCGGCUAUUAACCCGCAGGCCUUCUUCCUCACUGAAAGUGCUUUACAACCCGAAGGCCUUCUUCACACACGCGGCAUGGCUGGAUCAGGGUUGCCCCCAUUGUCCAAUAUUCCCCACUGCUGCCUCCCGUAGGAGUCUGGGCCGUGUCUCAGUCCCAGUGUGGCUGAUCAUCCUCUCAGACCAGCUACGGAUCGUCGCCUUGGUGAGCCGUUACCUCACCAACCAGCUAAUCCGACAUAGGCUCAUCCGAUAGCGCGAGGCCCGAAGGUCCCCCGCUUUCCCCCGUAGGGCGUAUGCGGUAUUAGCCUGGGUUUCCCCAGGUUAUCCCCCACUACCGGGCAGACUUCCUAUGCAUUACUCACCCGUCCGCCGCUCGCCACCAGGGAGCAAGCUCCCCGUGCUGCCGCUCGACUUGCAUGUGUAGCGUGCCGCCAGCGUCAUCUGAGCCANAAUACAACUACUGA